rnacentral:lncRNA from 1 species
AUGAGAGUUGAGCCAGAGGAACCCAGGGUGUGCUUUGAUGCCUCCUGGAUGUGCCAGCCAGCACCUCCUCCGUCUCCUGCAGUGCCCAUGGGAAGGCUGACCCCCCCCCCAGUCACAGCCACACAGAGGCAGGCAGGACAAAGUUGUGUGUGUACGGGGUGUCUGCUCUCAGGCUCCCGAAUGAGCCUGGGUCUCUACUGGCCUCUGGGCCUGCGAGCACCAUGGCUCCACCUCCCCAUACCCUCCUUACUCCACUUUCCCUUCCCCCUUAGGUUCGAACGAUACAGGUCAGGCCGAUCUGCUCAAAAUGCCACUAAUGGGGUGCUGAGCGAAGUGACAGAGGACAACCUCAUAGACCUGGGCCCAGGGUCUCCAGCCGUGGUGAGCCCGACUGUGGGGAGCACAGCACCCCCAUCUUCCCUUUCCUCCCAGCUCGCCGGCUUGGACCUGGGUACGGAGAGUGUCAGCGGCACCCUGAGCUCGCUGCAGCAGUGCCAGCCCCAGGAUAGCUUCGAUGUGUUCGCCCAGACCAGAGGGAGUGCCUCGGCUGAGCAGCGCAACCCGCCCACCUACGAGGACCCCCAGGCUAUUGGAGUACCUGCUGUGGCAGCUGAUGGUCGGAAACAGAGCUCCGAAGUGAAGAGAGGUAAAGGUGGGGACUCCGCCCUGGAGCCCAUAGACAGCUGGCUCAUAGCCCAAGGAAUGAUCCCCGUGGUGCAGCCCUCGGUCAUGGACGACAUUGAGGUGUGGCUCAGGACCGACCUGAAGGGUGAUGACUUGGAGGAGGGCGUCACGAGCGAAGAGUUCGAUAAAUUCCUUGAAGAAAGGGCCAAAGCUGCUGAAAUGGUUCCCAGCCUCCCCUCUCCCCCAGCGGACACUCCAGCCCCAGCCUCGAAUCCCUCAGGCCGGAAGAAGCCAGAGCGGUCAGAGGAUGCCCUCUUUGCUCUGUGAGCUGUCCUGUGGUUGGGCCCCCCCAUGGCAGGUCACCUCUCACCCCUGGUCCACACCAGGCUCUGGCCACUUCUCCCAUCCCCCGCCCCUACUUGGUCCUGCGCUGCUGUGUCUCCAUGGAAACACCACUGUGUUUGCUCCCAGGCCUCCCACUCGUUGGGCCCAGCUUUAGCCACCUUUUCUUUGAGAGGUGGGACAAUGUCGCUGCAGCUGCAGACCCUCAGCCUCUGCCCUCCUGCUCCCUCUGCCUAUUUCCUCCAGGAAAAGCUGGUGGGGUCUGCCCCCCCCCCCCCCCCCGCCCCCCCUGUACGCGC